rnacentral:rRNA from 1 species
AUGCUCCAGGGCACAGCCCGGACAUGGCUGAACAACCUGAAGCCCCGCAGCAUCAACAGCUGGGUCGAUUUCAUCGAAGCCUUCAUCCGCAACUUCACCAACACGUACAAGCGGCCGCCCAAGCCUCGCCAGUUCUCCUUAUGCGUCCAAGGCCCCAACGAGUCGACUCGCGACUACCUCACGUUCUGGGCCGAGCUGCGCAACUCUUGCGAGGGCGUCCACGAGGUGCAGGCCAUCGAGUACUUCACCGCCGGGUGCCGAGAAGGCACCCUCCUCAAGCACAAGCUUCUUUGCGACGAGCCGACGACCCUCGACGAACUGCUGAUCAUAGCAGACAAGUACGCCAUGAUACGUCCAUUUUGCAUCAUGCUUUUAUAUCGAUAUUUAUUGCAUCAUUGGCUAUUAUCACUCAUUAUGUCACAAUAA